rnacentral:lncRNA from 1 species
UUAACAGGUACAAAAAAUGCACAGCUGUGUCAUGAUUUGCGAAAUCUGUGCUGAAAACAUAGGCAUUGAUGGUGUUUGAGUAAUUCCAUCUGUGAAGCUCAACAUUAGCUCGACAGUUGGUGGUGGACAGUUAUAAAUCCUUUCUGCAGGAUGAAUGACUUGUCAGGAAAACCAAUUUCACAAAUCAAAACUUUCCUCUAG